rnacentral:rRNA from 1 species
UACGAGGGGGCGAGCGUUGUUCGGAAUUAUUGGGCGUAAAGGGUGCGUAGGCGGCCUGACAAGUCUGAUGUGAAAUCCCUGGGCUCAACCCAGGGCCUGCAUCGGAAACUGUCGGGCUUGAGUAUGGGAGAGGUGAGUGGAAUUUCCGGUGUAGCGGUGAAAUGCGUAGAUAUCGGAAGGAACACCUGUGGCGAAAGCGGCUCACUGGACCAUACUGACGCUGAGGCGCGAAAGCUAGGGGAGCAAACAGG